GCGCUGGAUGGUGCUGUGGCGCCGGCGCGCUGGGUCGUCACCGGCCUGCCGCGCGAGGAGGCGCGCGCCACCACGUUCGAGGCGCGUCUGCUCG
rnacentral:tRNA from 1 species